UACGUAGGGGGCAAGCGUUGUCCGGAAUUAUUGGGCGUAAAGAGCGCGUAGGCGGUCCGGUAAGUCGGCUGUGAAAGUCAAGGGCUCAACCCUUGAAAGCCGGCCGAUACUGUCGGACUAGAGUCCGGAAGAGGCGAGUGGAAUUCCCGGUGUAGCGGUGAAAUGCGCAGAUAUCGGGAGGAACACCAAUGGCGAAGGCAGCUCGCUGGGACGGUACUGACACGUGAGCGCGAAAGCGUGGGGAGCAAACAGG
rnacentral:rRNA from 1 species